GGAAAGGUAAGUUUGUAUAUUUAUUUUAUAGUCUGAUCUGAGGUCUUAUUGGGGGUCUGAAGAGUCUGUUUGGGGGUCUAAAGGGUCUGAUUGGUGGUCUGAAGGGUCUGAUGGGUCUAAAGGGGGGUCUAGAGAAGUCUAAUGGGGGUCUGAUAUGGGGUCUG